GAUACUGUGGCCGAGUGGUUAAGGCGAUGCCCUGCUAAGGCAUUGCGUUCUACGUUCGAGAGUUCGAAUCUCUUCAGUAUCG